rnacentral:pre_miRNA from 1 species
AGGAGGAACAACCCCAGUGGUGGCGGCAGCUCUGGAAACCUGGAUUCAGCUCUCACAGUAACUCCGGAGCUCUCUGUCUGCAAGGACUGGAGGCUCCAGGGCGGG